AGAGUUUGAUCCUGGCUCAGGAUGAACGCUAGCUACAGGCUUAACACAUGCAAGUCGAGGGGCAGCAUGACCUAGCAAUAGGUUGAUGGCGACCGGCGCACGGGUGAGUAACACGUAUCCAACCUACCGGUUAUUCCGGGAUAGCCUUUCGAAAGAAAGAUUAAUACCGGAUAGUAUAACGAGAAGGCAUCUUUUUGUUAUUAAAGAAUUUCGAUAAUCGAUGGGGAUGCGUUCCAUUAGUUUGUUGGCGGGGUAACGGCCCACCAAGACAUCGAUGGAUAGGGGUUCUGAGAGGAAGGUCCCCCACAUUGGAACUGAGACACGGUCCAAACUCCUACGGGAGGCAGCAGUGAGGAAUAUUGGUCAAUGGACGAGAGUCUGAACCAGCCAAGUAGCGUGAAGGAUGACUGCCCUAUGGGUUGUAAACUUCUUUUAUAUGGGAAUAAAGUGAGCCACGUGUGGCUUUUUGUAUGUACCAUACGAAUAAGGAUCGGCUAACUCCGUGCCAGCAGCCGCGGUAAUACGGAGGAUCCGAGCGUUAUCCGGAUUUAUUGGGUUUAAAGGGAGCGUAGGCGGACUAUUAAGUCAGCUGUGAAAGUUUGCGGCUCAACCGUAAAAUUGCAGUUGAUACUGGUCGUCUUGAGUGCAGUAGAGGUAGGCGGAAUUCGUGGUGUAGCGGUGAAAUGCUUAGAUAUCACGAAGAACUCCGAUUGCGAAGGCAGCUUACUGGACUGUAACUGACGCUGAUGCUCGAAAGUGUGGGUAUCAAACAGGAUUAGAUACCCUGGUAGUCCACACAGUAAACGAUGAAUACUCGCUGUUUGCGAUAUACAGUAAGCGGCCAAGCGAAAGCAUUAAGUAUUCCACCUGGGGAGUACGCCGGCAACGGUGAAACUCAAAGGAAUUGACGGGGGCCC
rnacentral:rRNA from 1 species